rnacentral:rRNA from 2 species
AUAAAUUGAGAGUUUGAUCCUGGCUCAGGACGAACGCUGGCGGCGUGCCUAAUACAUGCAAGUCGAACGAGAAUUUUUUACACCGAGUGCUUGCACUCACCGUAAGAAAUUCGAGUGGCGGACGGGUGAGUAACACGUGGGUAACCUGCCCAAAAGAAGGGGAUAACAUUUGGAAACAAAUGCUAAUACCGUAUAACCAUGAUGACCGCAUGGUCAUUAUGUGAAAGGUGGUUUUGCUAUCGCUUUUGGAUGGACCCGCGGCGUAUUAACUAGUUGGUAGGGUAACGGCCUACCAAGGUAAUGAUACGUAGCCGAGUUGAGAGACUGAUCGGCCACAAUGGGACUGAGACACGGCCCAUACUCCUACGGGAGGCAGCAGUAGGGAAUCUUCCACAAUGGG